ACUGCAAUAGCCCAGUGCCUCCGUGAAGGCUCUAUUUCACAUCCCAACAACACGGAACAAAUUGCACAAACGCAAGGAAUUAGAUCCCUUGGUAACAAACAUUGAAGUCACUUUUUAAAAUGUCACCAAAUGGCUCUGUUAACUCUGUUUUGUAACAAGUGAGAGGCAGAUGGCACUUUGAAGUGUAUGAUGCAUCUUGGAAGAGCAGAAUUGCUCAGGCAUUUUUGUCUGGUUUGCCAAGAUGAAGCGACAAUGCCCCAGAUGAAAGGCGCUUGGCAUGCUCUCACACAAGAGGCUGGGUACCAUUGAGUAUCACACUGUUCGCUUUUGGCACAAGUUAAUUGACUAAGCCUGCGUCAGUAAACACCCCGAAGCAUCAAAGAAACACACAGAGAGUGUAAGACAGAAGCCAAGAGUCUUCUCCAGGGUGGAAAUAGCCUGAAGAUGUCUGCAUGGAUGAGGAAGGAAGAGGGCUGUUUACUUUCCGAGUUUGCAAGAACAUCCAACAGCUGGAUGCUUGGAACUUUGCACAGAUGUGGACUUUAGCUCAAAGCCCCUUUUCUCUGGCAUCAAGAAGCACUCACUCCCCUCCUCUCCCCCCCCCCACACUUCUGCUUGGCUUCAGUGUAUUUUCCUGAUUUGCUUUUUAAAAGCCUACUCCUAGGCUUCAAAGGGUGGCAGAUAGAGGCAGCCUGGAAGGCCAGGGUGUCCACUGGUGCAGGAGUCUCUGCGAGUGCCUGACUGUUUGAAGGGGCUUCAUAAACAAAGAAAAAAAAAGAA
rnacentral:lncRNA from 1 species